GAUGAACGCUGGCGGCGUGCCUAAUACAUGCAAGUCGAGCGAACGGACGAGAAGCUUGCUUCUCUGAUGUUAGCGGCGGACGGGUGAGUAACACGUGGAUAACCUACCUAUAAGACUGGGAUAACUUCGGGAAACCGGAGCUAAUACCGGAUAAUAUUUUGAACCGCAUGGUUCAAAAGUGAAAGACGGUCUUGCUGUCACUUAUAGAUGGAUCCGCGCUGCAUUAGCUAGUUGGUAAGGUAACGGCUUACCAAGGCAACGAUGCAUAGCCGACCUGAGAGGGUGAUCGGCCACACUGGAACUGAGACACGGUCCAGACUCCUACGGGAGGCAGCAGUAGGGAAUCUUCCGCAAUGGGCGAAAGCCUGACGGAGCAACGCCGCGUGAGUGCUGAAGGUCUUCGGAUCGUAAAACUCUGUUUUUAGGGAAGAACAUAUGUGUAAGUAACUGUGCACAUCUUGACGGUACCUAAUCAGAAAGCCACGGCUAACUACGUG
rnacentral:rRNA from 1 species